rnacentral:rRNA from 1 species
GAUGAACGCUGGCGGCGUGCCUAAUACAUGCAAGUCGAGCGAACAGACGAGGAGCUUGCUCCUCUGACGUUAGCGGCGGACGGGUGAGUAACACGUGGAUAACCUACCUAUAAGACUGGGAUAACUUCGGGAAACCGGAGCUAAUACCGGAUAAUAUAUUGAACCGCAUGGUUCAAUAGUGAAAGACGGUUUUGCUGUCACUUAUAGAUGGAUCCGCGCCGCAUUAGGUAGUUGGUAAGGUAACGGCUUACCAAGGCAACGAUGCGUAGCCGACCUGAGAGGGUGAUCGGACAGCCUGGAACUGAGACACGGUCCAGACACCUGCGGGAGGCAGCAGUAGGGAAUCUUACGCGAUGGGCGAGAGCCUGACGGAGCAACGCCGCGUGAGUGAUGAAGGUCUUCGGAUCGUAAAACUCUGUUAUUAGGGAAGAACAAAUGUGUAAGUAACUAUGCACGUCUUGACGGUACCUAAUCAGAAAGCCACGGCUAACUACGUG